AAUGGUAAACGCCCACCUUGACGCAGCGUAGUGUUUUGAACGGCACGAACACGGCAUUCAAAAUGCAGUGUGAAAAGGCUUUUACGGAUACAUGCACGCACGCACACACGGUGUGUGUCGAGUCCUCCGUUGAACCCCAGCGACUGCCUCUCCGAACACCUGGGGUUCGAUCGAAACCAGGUUAAGAAACAUUGCCCGAGAUAUUUAGAUACUGUAUCUCAAAUUUGUCUCUCUUUGACCAAAGCACUGAGAAACCAACACGUUGAAGCUUCCUGUAGUUAUAUGCGCAACAUACUGUUUUACUAUAAGAAAAUAUGACAACAUAAUGCUGAACGUCUUAAUGAUUAUUUAUUAGGUCAAAGUGUCCCAUGCCAUGAUUGCUAAUGUGUAGUUAGUUAUUAUAUUUGAACAGUUAACGCCCUGUUGGGCACGCUCUGGUAGCGUAAUUGACCAAGAGCUCAUUCUUUCACACACUACCUAAAAUAAUGGCUUCAUUAAAAAAAACAUCCAUCCAUCCAUUUUCCACAGUACAACAUAAAUCAACAACAAAUGUGACAGCUGAAUAAAGUAUGCAUUCCAAGAACCAUUGUUAACAUACACAGAAACAACAACGACGUUUAACGUAACAAUAAGGACGUUAAUUUGUGCAAAACAAAAAUAAUAAUAAUAAUCCACAUUCCAUUGUGGGAAUCGUGCGGCUUGACGUCACAUAUGCUUGUUUUCUUUAGCAUUAGCAGCUAGCUUUGUAAGCAAUAUAGUUAUACGGCGACCGUGCGCUGUCUGGGCUUCCUGUACAGUACAUUACAGUCUUGUUUAGUCAGUGUGGUGUUCUCAAGAAUCAGUCUUGUAGUGUGUAAUUACUACGCCCGAUGGCCUGGUUGCCAGGUAACCUCCUCUUCCCCCCAACAACUGAUAAACUCUGCAUUCUUCUCUCCUGAACCUCAACUAGCCAGUUUGCUUUCAUAAAAGACAGGAAACCUGGUUUGUAUCAUCUGGAGCCAUAAACACUUCCUCAUGACUUGCACAGCCUGGGGGUUGGCGGGGUUUUGAGGGUGGCAGUAAGUGAUUGAUGACUGCUGAACAAUGGAACAUGGCCAACCCACCCCCCAGUGGUGGUUAGAGACAAUGCCUGCAGACAUCAAAAUAAUGUUGAAGAGGUCUCACGUUUGUGCCAAGAACAGUAGUUUAGCACCUGCGCGAGAGUUAUCACAAUCGUUUGUUAUUAUGUUUCUUUCCUAAGUGUGGGAGAGUACAAAGUUGGGAGUAUUUUAGAUUAAGAUAUGAGUUUAACAUCCACUUUUAUGAGCCGAACUGAAGACAAAAUUCAAGCCGAUGGGUGUGGUCUUCUGCAGUUUCCCCGUCGUCCCUUAGACACGCCCCCUGGUUAUUUAACCACUUCUCGCUCUCUUGUGUCUUACUUCUUGCCCCUCUCCUCCUGGCUAACAUCCCUGCAGCUGUGGGGCGGCUUCGGCCAGCCCCUUCCCCUCCCCUUUCCUUUGUCCGUUGCCACCACGUGCGCGAGCGCCCGGCGGACCAAGACGACGCCGCCUUCCGAUUAAAGAAGGCGACCAUGCGGCUUCAAUCAUUUUCCCACCCUUGAUCUGUUGGCAGAGCCUCAGUAAGCAACUACCGGCACUACCAGUCAUGACCGCAUUUGAGAGCAAGAGCGGGGCCCGAAACAAGUUCAAAUGCAGGAAAAGAUGCUUGGAAAAAGACCAUUCCCAGAGCCACCUGAUCUACGUUCGAGAGUCGGGCUCGGCAGUCGUUGCCAUAAUGUACAAAAUUAGUGCCUACUAAUUUUGGGGUAAAAUUCCAGCUUCAUACAAGUUCCAGCUUUGUACGAGCUCAACACACUGUAACCAAGUAACGCUAAAUUUUAGUCCAGCGACACACGAGUUCUAAUUUUUCUUUACGUAUGCCUAUUUUCUUUCUAUUACCAUUAUUAUUAUUUUCUUUUUGUAUUAGAGUCUCUCUGUAUGUUACCCCGUAGUUCCCCUUUUUGAUUUAAUUACAUUUUCUAUAAAAUUCCACUUCAUGUCAUGCUUUGUGUGUGUUUGAGUUUAAGAGUGAAACCGUUGAAAUGGAGAGCUCGUAUUUCAUUCAGGUAGCAGGCUUCUGAAUUACUGAGAUUGAGCCAGGUUUUUUUCGUCACUUUUCCUAAAUUUUACACAUACUGUACAAAAAGAGACGUGGUACCCCUUUUCGAGACAAAGAUAGCUUUUAAUGUUAAACACAGGCGUUACUUUCCGACGAAUCUCAUUUCCAAAUUAAUUUCGUUUUUAUCCAAAAUAGAUAUACGCUACACUGUAUUUCUUUUUUAAUUCACUUUAUUUACCAAUCGAUCUAUUUGACAUGAAACUACAUUCUUCUUCGUGUUAUUUUCUUCACCUCUUUUUGAUGUCUUAUGUUUACAUUGUAGUGUUGAGACUGAGAUACCACAGUUGGAUGAAAUUAUACAUUUAAAAUAA